rnacentral:rRNA from 1 species
GACGUAGGGGGCGAGCGUUGUCCGGAAUUAUUGGGCGUAAAGAGCGUGUAGGCGGCUCUGCAAGUCCUGCGUGAAAUCUCGAGGCUCAACCUCGAGCGGUCGUGGGAAACUGGAGGGCUAGAGUGCGGGAGAGGGAAGUGGAAUUCCAGGUGUAGCGGUGAAAUGCGUAGAUAUCGGGAGGAACACCAGUGGCGAAGGCGACUACCUGGCCUGUUCUUGACGCUGAGGCGCGAAAGCUAGGGGAGCAAACGGG